UGCUCUUGUGAAAAGUGGAGAAGAUGUCAGCUUCAAAUGCAACUCUAGCCAUUUGUCUCCAAAUGCACUCAAGGUUCCUUGAGACAGUUUGGAACCCCAAUCCAAGGAGCUAGGAAGAAGAAAACCAUAUGGGGUUAGGAUCACAAGGUCCACGUCCAAGUGCCAAGAGAGGUAACUUCAACCAAUUGAGAUGAGCUAAUGAAAAUGGGGAAAGCUCGUAUUCCAUCUCAACAACGAAAUUCCCUUUUCAAUCUUCAGGUUUAGGCGCUUAACUCAAGUCUCCAAUGAUAUGCAAAGGGACAUCAAGUAAGCAAGUUAUAAACAUUCUAGACAAAUUUUCAUGAAUCUUUGAAUAAAUUUGUCAUAAGAAUGGAGGAAGAUGUUAUCAUGUGCAGACUAUGAAAAGUUAAAAAAAUCUUCUCAAAGCUUGUCUAGAUGUUGAUCAAGGUAUGGUGGAUUCUUCGUUAUCAUGUGAGAUCAAAAUCAAGCAUAUGAUGGUUAUAAUUAGACGCGCUCUCAAGGUGAAGGUUAGAGUACUGAAGUGUCCCUUGAGAGAGAAUUAGAGGCCUCCAUUAAGUGUGGUAUUGAGAGACCAAAAGUGAAAGCCAUUUGUGAGAGAGCAAGUGUGAGUUAUUUGGGUGUCAAAGGGGUCUUUGGAUUUGAGAGUUUCCACUCAACUUUGUAACUUGUACACUCUAUUUUGAUAUUGUAUUUGUUCAUGGAUGAAGGCAAUAAAUCAAACCACGUAAAUUUUGAAUUGUCCA